AAUGAAAUGCCUGAUUAAAGGAUUAUCUUGAUAGGAUAAAACAAGUAAUUUCUAUUACUUUCAUUA
rnacentral:tRNA from 1 species